CACAGACUCCUACGGGAGGCAGCAGUGGGGAAUAUUGCACAAUGGGGGAAACCCUGAUGCAGCGACGCCGCGUGAGUGAAGAAGUAUUUCGGUAUGUAAAGCUCUAUCAGCAGGGCAGAUAAUGACGGUACCUGACUAAGAAGCCCCGGCUAACUACGUGCCAGCAGCCGCGGUAAUACGUAGGGGGCAAGCGUUAUCCGGAUUUACUGGGUGUAAAGGGUGCGUAGGUGGCAGGGCAAGUCAGAUGUGAAAGCCCGGGGCUCAACCCCGGUACUGCAUUUGAAACUGUCCAGCUGGAGUGCAGGAGAGGUAAGCGGAAUUCCUAGUGUAGCGGUGAAAUGCGUAGAUAUUAGGAGGAACACCAGUGGCGAAGGCGGCUUACUGGACUGUAACUGACACUGAGGCACGAAAGCGUGGGGAGCAAACAGGAUUAGAUACCCGGGUAA
rnacentral:rRNA from 1 species